AUUGAACGCUGGCGGCAGGCCUAACACAUGCAAGUCGAACGAGUGGCGGACGGGUGAGUAAUUUCUGGGAAACUGCCUGAUGGAGGGGGAUAACUACUGGAAACGGUAGCUAAUACCGCAUACCAUCAGAUGUGCCCAGAUGGGAUUAGCUUGUUGGUGGGGUAACGGCUCACCAAGGCGACUAUCCCUACCUGGUCUUAGAGGAUGACCAGCCAGACUGGAACUGAGACACGGGCCAUACUCCUACGGUAGGCAGCAGGGGGGAAUAUUGCACAAGGGGAGAAAGCCUGAUGCAGCCAUGCCGCGUGUAUGAAGAAGGCCUUCGGGUUGUAAAGUACUUUCAGCGGGGAGGCGUUACCCGCAGAAGAAGCACCGGCUAACUCCGUGACAGCAGCCGCGGUAAUAC
rnacentral:rRNA from 1 species